CUAUGAGUGUCUUGGGUGAGAAAUAACCUAGAUCAUCAUCACCACUACAUAAUGCCUCAAGUUCAAAAUCCUGUUAAGUGCUAACAACACCUGAACCUUCGUGGCCCUCUCACAGGCUGAGAUAGCAUUGGCCAAACCCUCCCCCUCUGUACAAAGUGCAGGUCAUCAGCAUGGAGACCUCCCAGUUCUGUGUAUUAGUAAUCUAAAAGGAAAGGAAUGGAGGCUUCUUUCCCAUGGACCCAGGAUUGAGAGAAUCUCUAUUGCUACCACAGAAGAACUUUUUCAGAAAGAUGUGAUUACUGAGCCAAGCCUCACCUAUUUCCUGAAGAUGAGAUUAGAUGUCUCUCCUGUGAGUGUCACCUGCAAGGCUGAUUUGAUCUUCAACAGCUAAUCGGACAUCCAGACAGCCAUGCACCCUCUUCUUGUAACCAAAAUUCUGUUUGUUUAGCCACAUCAUGAACUCUGUUUUGGUUUCAGAGCUCUUGGCUGAGGGAAGAUCUGACGAAGGGUCUCUUUAGACCACAAACAUAAAGGUCUUGGCAACAGAUGGACCUCAUCAUACAUGUUUUCUCAUUGAGUAUUUGUGGGAUUGAAAGUAAUCUCUGGGUAUUUUGCUUUGGGAGAAAGAAUGAUCAAGGCAACCCGUUGUUCAGAUGACCACUGAGAAACAUAGAAGAGGCUGACUGGGAUAAUGAAGGCAUCUGUAAGACACUUGAAAUGAAGAGACACAGCUUAGAGAAGAGAUACAACUGGAGGGAACCUGAUCACCAUCUCAAAUGUUGAGACUGUCCUGUAGGGGACGGUAUCACUCUGACUCACUUCUAGAAUAGUUACCAGCUAGAUCUUAAUCUCAAGUAGGUUAUGAAUAGUGUCUGCCACAUUGCAUUGUAUCUCCCAGGCCUGGCAUGGUAAUGG